rnacentral:lncRNA from 1 species
AUGGCCGUGUCCUCGGCUCUCAGGCUGUUCAUCUGCAGAUACACUGUGUUCCUGGCGUUGUCUCUGGAGAUGGUGAAUCGGCCCUUCACAGCCAGAGUCCUCGGCUCUCAGGCUGUUCAUCUGCAGAUAGAGCGUGUUCUUGGCGUUGUCUCUGGAGAUGGUGAAUCGGCCCUUCACAGCCUGUGGGUAGUAUGUGCUACUUCCAUCACUGCUAAUCCCUGCGACCCACUGCAGAUAGAGCGUGUUCUUGGCGUUUUCUCUGGAGAUGGUGAAUCGGCCCUUCACUGUGUCUGCGUAGUAUAUGCUACCUCCACCACUGUUAAUAAUUGCGACCCACUCCAGCCUUUUCCCUGGAGCCUGGAGGACCCAGUGCAUCCAGUAGCUACUGAAGGUGAAUCCAGAGGACACACAAGAAAGUCUCAGAGACCCCCCAGGCUUCACCAGGUCUCCCCCAGACUCUACCAGCUGCAACUCACCCUGGACACCUGCAGGCACAAGACAUCCUGGUCAGGAAACAGUCCCACAUCCCCUGUUUCUCUCACUCACCUGCACUCACAUACUCAAGGUCCCUUGUUCUCCAUGAAUUACCUUUUAAAAUAGCAACAAGGAAAACCUAGCCGAGCACAGACUCCAUGGUGGUUUGUCUGUUUUCUCUCCUGAUCCCUGAAUGGGGUCACCUGGGGAUCCUGGGGCUGGGGCUCCUCUCCCAGCUGCAGGGUCCAAGCUGGGCCGGUGUAAUCAGUGUAGGGAGGGCCCUAUUUGCAUGUCCUCUGAGUACAUAACCAGCUCCAGACUCGAUUCAAUACUUUAGAAGUUAUAUACGAGCAUUACUUCCUAACCCUAGGUAACUCUUUUGGUGGCACUGUGGAUUUAUGAUGUUCCAAUCCAUUACCAUAUUUACCUUUGCAUUUCUCUCUGCCUUUUUAAAAGCCUUUCAUUAAUAUAGUUCAUUUUAAAGAACAUUUUCUCUCCUUAAUGUAGCUUAAUCUAAAUAUUUAUUUUUGAUACAAGUGUAAAGGGGAUUAUUUUAUGUAUUUUAAAAAGAACAUAUGUCGUUACUGUGUAGAAAUUAACUUUAUUGUCUAUGUUGAUUUGAUAUCCUGAAUUUUCCCUGCGCUCAAUACUUACCCCUAAGUGUUUUUUUCAAUGAUUUGCCUCAUUGACUAUGUAUAUGCAAAUUAUUUUUCUUCCUUUGACUGAUUUUAAUAUCUUUUAUUUUAGGGAUCCCUGGGUGGCGCAGGGGUUUGGCACCUGCCUUUGGCCCAGGGCGCGAUCCUGGAGACCCGGGAUCGAAUCCCACAUCGGGCUCCGGGUGCAUGGAGCCUGCUUCUCCCUCUGCCUGUGUCUCUGCCUCUCUCUCUCUCUGUGACUAUCAUGAAUAAAUAAAAAAUUAAAAGAAAUUAAAAAAUAUAUCUUUUAUUUUAUUAUUGCCUAAUUUCUAUGGUAAUCUUCGACUUAGUGGCAUAUCCUUUUUCCCACUUUUCUGUCAGAUUCUUUGUUCUAAUAUUUCAUUUGAUAUAUAGCAGAUGUAGGAGAGCAAAUGAAUUUCUUUUUGCAUGUGGAUGAGCUCCCUAAUAUAUGGUGUGAUGUGGGAUCUCAGGACAGGACAGGAAGUCUGUUCACAACUUCUGCCCGAUUCUGAUGGGAUAUAUAUCCUUGAUGUGUGUUGAGAUUGAUAAGUUCAUUGUAGAUUUGAAUUCGAGCCUUUAAUCUGAUAAGAAAUUUCCAAAUAUCUUCUUCCAUUUUGUAGGCUGACUAUUAAUUACACUGAGUGAUUCCUAUGCUAUGAAAAUUCUCUUUCCUUGAUGAAGUCCCCAUAGUUCAUUUUCCUUUUCUUUCCCUAGCCUCUGGAGACACGUCUAGAAGUGGCUGCAGCUGAGGUAGAAAAGGUGCUUCCUGUGUUUUCUUAGUAUUCUGAUGGUUUCCUGAGUCACAUUUAGGUCUUUCAUCAACUUUGAGUCCAUUGUUGUGAAUGAUAUAAGAAAAGGGUCCCUUUUCAUUAUUCUGCAUGUGGGUCUCCAAUAUUCCCAACAACAUUGUUGAGGAGACUUUUUUCCAUUGGAUAUUCUUUCUUGCUUUGUCAAGGUUUUUUGACCACAGAGUUCAGGGUCCACUUCUGGGUUCUCAAGCUUUUCUAUUUAUCUAUACGUCAGUAUUUGUGCCUGUGCCAUACUGUCCUGAUGAUCACAACAUUGUAAUUUAUCUUGACAGCUAGAAUCAGGAUAUCUACAGCUUUGCUUUAGUUAAGGAUUGCUUUGGCUAUUUGAGGUCUUUGUGGUUCUCCAAAAAAUUUCUGAUUGUUUUCUCUAGCUCUGUGAAAAAUGCUGGUUAUAUUAUUAUACAGAUGGCUUUGAAUGUGUCACUUGCUUUUGGUACCAUAGACAUUUUAUCAAUAUUCAUUCUUCUAAUCCAUUAUAAUAAAUAUUUUCUUUUUUUUUUUAAGAUGCGUUACCUUUUUUUUAAGAUUUUAUUUAUUCAUGAGAGACACAGAGAGAGAGAGAGGCAGAGGCAUAGGCAGAGGGUGAAGCAGGCUCCAUGCAGGGAGCCCGAUGUGGGACUCGAUCCCGGGUCUCCAGGAUCACGCCCUGGGCCAAAGGCGGCGCUAACCCGCUGAGCCACCCGGGCUGCCCUAAUAAAUAUUUUCUAUCUCCUUUUUUAUUCCUUCUUGUCUUUCAUAAGUGUUCUGCAGUGUUUAGAAUAUAGAUCCAUCCCUCUUCGUUUACGAUUUUUCCUAACCAUCUGAUGAUUUCUGGUGCACUUAUAAAUUGCAUCCAGUCCUUGAUUUUCUUUUUUCUGCUUCAUUUGAACUAUAGAGAAGAGCCACUGACUUCCUUGUAUUGAUUUUACAUGCUCCGAUCUUGCUGAAUUCUGGUAUCAGUUCUAGGAAUUUUUUUUCAAAGUAAUCUUUGGGAUUUGAACUUAAAGAUCUUGUGGUGUAUUAAGAGUUAAAGUUUGGCUUUUUCUUUGCUUAGUUGGAAGACAUUUCCUUCUCUUUGUUGUCUGAUUGUUGAGGCUAGGACUUCUAGCAGUAUGGUGAAGAACUGUGGUGAUGGUGGACAUCCCUGUCCUGUUCCUGAUCUUAGGAGAAAGCUCUCAACUUUUCCCGGUUGAGGAAGACAUUCUCCAUGUGUCUCUGUAGAUUUAUUUUAUGAUGUUGAG